rnacentral:rRNA from 1 species
GGGGAAUAUUGGGCAAUGGGGGAAACCCUGACCCAGCAACGCCGCGUGAAGGACGAAGGCCUUCGGGUUGUAAACUUCUUUGAUCAGGGACGAAAGCAAUGACGGUACCUGAAGAACAAGCCACGGCUAACUACGUGCCAGCAGCCGCGGUAAUACGUAGGUGGCGAGCGUUAUCCGGAUUUACUGGGUGUAAAGGGCGUGUAGGCGGGUUUGCAAGUCGGGUGUAAAAGAUUCGGGCUUAACCCGGAGAGGUCAUCCGAAACUGCAGAUCUUGAGUGCUGGAGAGGAUAGUGGAAUUCCUGGUGUAGCGGUAAAAUGCGUAGAGAUCAGGAGGAACACCAGUGGCGAAGGCGGCUAUCUGGACAGUAACUGACGCUGAGGCGCGAAAGCGUGGGGAGCAAACAG